rnacentral:rRNA from 1 species
AGUGGCGGACGGGUGAGUGACACGUAAGAAUUUGCCUUUAGGAGGGGGACAACAACUGGAAACGGUUGCUAAUACCCCAUAUGCUUUCGAGUGAAAUGGAUUUAUCCGCCUAGAGAGAAGCUUGCGGCUGAUUAGCUUGUUGGUAAGGUAAUGGCUUACCAAGGCGACGAUCAGUAUCUGGUUUGAGAGGAUGAUCAGACACACUGGAACUGAGACACGGUCCAGACUCCUACGGGAGGCAGCAGUGGGGAAUUUUCCGCAAUGGGCGAAAGCCUGACGGAGCAAUACCGCGUGAGGGAUGAAGGCCUAUGGGUUGUAAACCUCUUUUUUCAGGGAGGAAUCAAAUGACGUGUACCUGAAGAAUAAGCAUCGGCUAACUCCGUGCCAGCAGCCGCGGUAAGACGGGGGAUGCAAGUGUUAUCCGGAAUCACUGGGCGUAAAGCGUCUGUAGGUGGUUAAAUAAGUCAACUGUUAAAUCUUGAGGCUCAACCUCAAAAUCGCAGUCGAAACUGUUUGACUAGAGUAUAGUAGGGGUAAAGGGAAUUUCCAGUGGAGCGGUGAAAUGCGUAGAGAUUGGAAAGAACACCGAUGGCGAAGGCACUUUACUGGGCUAUUACUAACACUGAGAGACGAAAGCUAGGGUAGCAAAUGGGAUUAGAUACCCCAGUAGUCCUAGCUGUAAACAAUGGAUACUAGA